GAUGAACGCUGGCGGCGUGCCUAACACAUGCAAGUCGAGCGAAGCACUUCACUUCAAAUCUUUCGGGAAGAGAGGUGAAAUGACUGAGCGGCGGACGGGUGAGUAACGCGUGGGUAACCUGCCUCAUACAGGGGGAUAACAGUUAGAAAUGACUGCUAAUACCGCAUAAGACCACAGUACUGCAUGGUACAGUGGUAAAAACUCCGGUGGUAUGAGAUGGACCCGCGUCUGAUUAGCUGGUUGGUGGGGUAACGGCCCACCAAGGCGACGAUCAGUAGCCGGCCUGAGAGGGUGAACGGCCACAUUGGGACUGAGACACGGCCCAA
rnacentral:rRNA from 1 species